AAGUGACUGAUAAUAUAACUCUUCUGUUGAAUCAAGUAAAACGGAUAAAGGGAUGUUUAAGCAAGACAAUCUUGGCAAGUCAAAAGGUUUUCCACCAGCUUUGAUUACUACAGGAUCUUUAAAUGAUGAAACACAGAUAACGAGUCAGUUAAACAUGUUUUAUCCUGUUAGUGAAGUCUGUCCCUUAUUUUAACCCUGC